GAGGGUAUAGCUCAGUGGUAGAGCAUGUGGCCUCGCAUGCAUGAGGUCCUAGGUUCAAUCCCCAGUACCUCCC
rnacentral:tRNA from 1 species